rnacentral:rRNA from 1 species
GACGAACGCUGGCGGCGUGCCUAAUACAUGCAAGUCGAGCGAACAGACGCUGCGCUUGUUCCUUUGUCGUUUGCGGAGCGCGGGUGAGUCACACGUGGAUCCCCCACCUAUCUGUCUGAGAUCACUUCGGGACACCGGCGCUAAUCCCGGAUAAUAUAUUGCACCGUAUGGUUCAUUAGUGAAUGUCGGCUUUUCUGUCUCUUCUCGCUGGAUCCCCGCUGCAUUGGCUAGUUGGUAAGGUAACGGCUUACCAAGGCAACGAGGCGUAGCCGACGUGCUAGAGGGAUCGGCCACACGGGAACUGGGACAGGGUCAAGACGCCUACGAGAGGGAGCAGUAGGGAAUCGGAGGCAGUGGGCGGAAGCCUGACAGAGCGACGCCGCGUGAGAGAUGAAGGUGUUCGGAGCGUAAAACUCGGUUAUGGGGUAAAAACAAAUUUGGAAGGAAAUGUACACGGCGUGACGGUAACUAAUCAGGAAGCCACGGCUAACUACGUG